CAGUAGCCGCGGUAAUACGUAGGGUGCAAGCGUUAAUCGGAAUUACUGGGCGUAAAGCGUGCGCAGGCGGUCCGCUAAGACAGAUGUGAAAUCCCCGGGCUUAACCUGGGAACUGCAUUUGUGACUGGCGGGCUAGAGUAUGGCAGAGGGGGGUAGAAUUCCACGUGUAGCAGUGAAAUGCGUAGAGAUGUGGAGGAAUACCGAUGGCGAAGGCAGCCCCCUGGGCCAAUACUGACGCUCAUGCACGAAAGCGUGGGGAGCAAACAGGAUUAGAUACCCCUGUAGUCCCUGUCUCUUAUAA
rnacentral:rRNA from 1 species